UACGAAGGGGGCUAGCGUUGCUCGGAAUCACUGGGCGUAAAGCGCACGUAGGCGGCUUCUUAAGUCAGGGGUGAAAUCCUGGAGCUCAACUCCAGAACUGCCUUUGAUACUGAGGAGCUUGAGUCCGGGAGAGGUGAGUGGAACUGCGAGUGUAGAGGUGAAAUUCGUAGAUAUUCGCAAGAACACCAGUGGCGAAGGCGGCUCACUGGCCCGGUACUGACGCUGAGGUGCGAAAGCGUGGGGAGCAAACAGGGAUUAAGAAACCCC
rnacentral:rRNA from 1 species